AUUUAUAAUAGUUUAAUAAAGAAUAAUAAUUUGUGGUAUUAUAGGUGAAAAGAAAUUUCUUUAAAUC
rnacentral:tRNA from 1 species